GUGAAGAGACAUGAGAGGUGUAGAAUAAGUGGGAGGCCCCCAGCGCCCCCCCACGUCCCCACGAGGGGGCGGGGCGGGGUCCACCAGCCUUGCGGGCCGCCGGUGAAAUACUACUACUCUGAUCGUUUUUUCAC
rnacentral:ncRNA from 1 species